AGGAUAAUAGUUAAAAAAUUAACAUUUAAGUUGCAUUUAAAAAUUAUUGGUAUCAAUUUAUCUUU
rnacentral:tRNA from 1 species